CCUUUGUACACACCGCCCGUCGCUACUACCGAUUGAAUGGUCAUAGUGAGCAUGUGGGAUCACCCGAGGCCGGAUGGCAACAUCCAGCCUUGGGAGAGAACUAUGGCAAACUAGAUUAUUUAGAGG
rnacentral:rRNA from 1 species